ACAAGUUAUGACCAACAGCCAACCCAGCAUGGGUGCCAGCGAUCUGAUGGCUGUGCUGAUGAUGAUGAUAACGAUGACGACGAUGACGUAGCAGCCCAUUUUCAGCUCGCACCAUCGGCAUCACCGCCAGCAUCAGCAGCAUCAUGGAGCUUUCCUCUUGCAGUGCAUCAGCUUGGCACCCUCAGCAGCCAUGCAGAGCCCAAGACCAAAAUGCAAAGGGUGGCUCCAGGAAAGACAGGGCCCAAGGGGACACGGAUCAACAAAUGUGACAGUUCUGCCCAGCAUCUGCAUCCAAGAUGUGAAGAGCCCUCCGAUCACAACUUGAUCUGUCAGACAGUUGUGCUCUUGAGUUGGUCAGCAUCUUCGAACACUGCGUUCUGUCCAUGAGAAAGAAGUGACCGCAUGCCAGGACUUGACAUACAAGCACGCUGUUCACCAGAACCCAUGAUUCCCAUCAUAUGCUGUCAGGAAUCCUGGGAUGGUUCAAGUCAUAGCAACUGAAAGGAGAAUGGGAGAAACGGGAGCUCAGAUGUCAUAUGUCCAGUUUCAGAUCUACAAAAUGAAGACGUUCAGAGGAGGUCCUACCUUUCAAAGAGUCCACAGUGGUAAUCAGAUCUCAUCCUGCAUCUCAGAAAGGAUAAGCCAUUUUCUAACUAGAGCAGGUGUUGCCGUUAGGAAGUGCUGCUGGCUGGGAGGAUCCACGCUCCCAAUCACACCUUGCUGUACCCGCAGAAGAGAUCCGCAGGCAAGCAAGCAGGAAGCAAGUGCGGAGGCAAGCCAGCUGGAUUCGGGGUGCCAGACAGGCAGCAGGAAGCAUGGCAGACCGGGCCCCACCUCUCAGGAAGAGCAAAUUGCGGUCGUGGGUGGAAGACAACUCACCAGUAUGGAAGCAGUUGUCAGUCUUGGUAAGGGACCUCAGGUGAGCUCCCCAACCUCUGAGAGUGCUAGCCUGACAUCAACAAGUCCUGGGUCCAAGGCAACAAGCAAGUCUGAGUGACCGGGGAGCACCACCAGGUCCACAGAGAACCCGAGCACCACCAUGGAGUUCAAGUUCACCGUGGGCCACCAUGUCCUCCUCAUCAUGUCACUUGUCUCCCAGGCCAGUUCUCCCCAUCUAGGUCAAGUACUGGGAAGAGCAGGAAGGACAGUCUAAGAGACACUGGCUGGGGCAGCCUAGAACUUGAGGAAGACCUGUGAGAAGGCAGGCUUGAUGAAACUCCCCUGGCCACAUUAACACUAACUCUAGGGACUUUCACGUCACUCCGCCUGUUCCACACUCAGCCACAGUAGGAGAGUUUGAUAAAUGGGGCUAAGGUGGUGGGGGAGAGGGUUCAUUUUCUUUCCAAAGUCCCUGCCACCCUAAGGAAGCCAACUAUCCACUCCAUCCUCCCUGGGGUCGCCCACUACCCUGCUGGCAGCUGGGAUGAAUCCAUCAAUCACAGCUGAGAUCAAUCCCGGAUCCUCUCACACUAAUUAGACAGAUAUCCCUUCCUCCUUCCCAGACACGGAAAUAAAAGAUUCAUGGGCAGGAGGGGGGCAGCGUGCAGAAACUCUGGGGAGGCCCAACUCAGGAGCCUCCUCCCAGUAGGCGCCAUCCUCCUGCCCCCACUCCCUCCCUGUCACCCCCCCCUUUCUUCCUCUUCCUUGUCUCCCA